GUCUUUUGUCAAAAAUUGAUGGAUAGCUUGAUGAGUGCUUAGUAAGAUAAUUCUCCCAGAUUUAGCAGCUUAAAUAUUUUUCUUGUAUCUAUUCUAAGGCUGCAGAUGCAGAAUUUUCAAGUCACAAUUUUUUUUAACAUGACAUGUACUGGUUUGAAUGUUCUGUGAUAGAGGGUUACUUGCUUUCAAUUUUCCACAAGUGCAUCUCUACUGACAAAAUCAACAAAGCCUCCACAGCUUAAGAUGGCUGUUGACUGUGAAGAUGAUGUGAUAAGAAUGAGAGCUGAGUGGUUACACAGAACUUAUGGGAGAAAUUUUCCUUCAGCUCAUGAGGUUCAUGUAGAAAACGCCAGGCUCGGCCACCAGAAAUAAAACAUUGACUCAUUCUUCCUGAACUUGAAGAGACUUCCUUUGGUAGGCGUAAUUAUAUUACCAAGAAAGUAUAUCAUGGGGCAGGUAGAUGAAAGAGCAUUCAAAACGUUGGUUAUUCUGAUAUCUGCGGCUUUAUGUAUUUUAGUCAUCGGAUGUGUUUGCAUUUUGAUAUUGACAAACGGAGUGUCAAAGGAAAUGAAUCUAAGCAGAAUUGAUCAGACAACUGGAAGCAAGAAGGAAGGUAGAGGCAUCAUGCAACUACAAAAGUCAAUUCCUUGCCAACAUGAGUCAUGAACUAAGGACACCUAUGGAAGCAGUAAUUGGGUUGUUUGACAUCCGUAUAUCUGAUGAUUGUCUCACAAAUGAACAAUAUUCAACAGUUACCCAAAUAAGAAAAUGCUCAACCGCCUUGCUCCGUCUUCUUAACAAUAUUUUGGAUCUGAGCAAGUUGAGAUUACGCUAAGUUUUUUGUUCAAGAAUAUUAGAAAACAAAUUCUAAGUUUCUUUUCCACUGUUAUAAUACUGCAUUUCUGCCAAAAAGCCUCCUAAUGUUUAUAGAAUUUAGGUGGAAUCCGGAAAAUUGGUCCUUUGCAGAAUUUGACUUGGGGCGGGAACUUGAAGGGAUGGUAGAUAUGUUCUCUGUGCAAUGCAUUAACCACAAUAUAGCGAUUUUAAUUUCGCUGAGAAGUGAAUGGUUAGAAGUUCUUUUAACAACUUUCUAAUGCAUGACCUCUAUCUACGUAUGCAUUUUAUACAAUUCUCUAUAGCUGUAUCUUAGUCUUUUUAUCAUCUAAUAUCAUCAUUUUGCUUUGUUGUUUCAUUUCCAGAGUGUAGCAAAGUGUAUAUGCACUUCUAUGAGCAAGUGAUUUAACUAUUUCAUGGCACAAGAAAUUUGGACCCCCGUAAAAUUGCAAUUAGAUUCAGGAGUUGUCGGCAAGGAAUGCUUCAAAUUUAGGCUAGGAAUAGGAUCGUGAUUUUCACCUUGGCAAUACAUAUAGGCAAGCUAAAUCAUUUGCUGAUUUCAUAAGAACUAAGAAAAGAUGGGAAGUAAAAGCAGUGAGGGAGAUUUUGGAGAGGGAGUCUUCAUAAGUAAGGAAUGAUGCAGGAAUGUAGAAGGAAUAAAACUAAACCAAAGCAUCGAGAUUUCUCAUACUACCUAUUUUUGCUUUCAAUCUAUUAACACCAGUAUUUAUGACUUGGCUAAAUGAAAACUAACUGUUUAUGUAGGGACUAUUCCAAGGCAAAACAAAAAGUUUUGAUGUGGAAAAAGCUCUUUUGGGAAAAUCUGUACAUGGUUUUGAAGAAGCAAUAUCCAUGGUAUCUUAUGGCUUUGGGGAUAUAGAAGAUCUUUAUACAAAAUCCAGCACAAGAAAUAUAAUCUUAAAUUGUAGAUCCAAUUUUAGCAUGAGUUAGUUUUGAUGCAACUGGUAGGGGAUCUUAAUUGGUUUAUCAUGUAAUUGACAUUUUGGGUUUUCACAGAGUUAAUCAUCUAGGGUAUAAUUGCUUAUAUAGUUUUAUUGCUAGAUUGUCUUGAAUAGCUAUUCUUAAUUGAAAUUUGAAAGAUUUUUGUGUUAACGCAUAAUUCUAGCUUAUAACUAAAUGAAAUGCCUUGAGCAGUACUACUUAUUGGCAUAACAUGUCAUAUAUGUCCCACUCUUAUGAUUUCUUAGAGUUUUUCAUUAUCCUGUUUGACUUUCAUGACAUCAUGAAUAUCAAUGCACAUCAAA